rnacentral:misc_RNA from 1 species
GAUGAAGAACGCAGCGAAAUGCGAUAAGUAGUGUGAAUUGCAGAAUUCAGUGAAACAUCGAAUCUUUGAACGCACAUUGCGCCCCUUGGUAUUCCAUGGGGCAUGCCUGUUCGAGCGUCAUUUGUACCUUCAAGCUUUGCUUGGUGUUGGGUGUUUGUCUCGCCUUUGCGUGUAGACUCGCCUUAAAAUAAUUGGCAGCCGGCGUAUUGAUUUCGGAGCGCAGUACAUCUCGCGCUUUGCACUCAUAACGACAGCGUCCAAAAGUACAUUUUACACUCUUGACCUCGGAUCAGGUAGGGAUACCCGCUGAACUUAAGCAUAUCAAUAAGCGGAGGA